rnacentral:rRNA from 1 species
AUUGAACGCUGGCGGCAGGCCUAACACAUGCAAGUCGAGCGGAGCGGCGGACGGGUGAGUAAUGCCUAGGAAUCUGCCUGGUAGUGGGGGAUAACGUCCGCAACCGGCCGCUAAUCCCGCAUACUAUCAGAUGAGGCUAGGGCGGAUUAGCGAGUGGGUGGGGUAAAGGCAUACCAAGGCGACGAUCCGUAACUGGUCUGAGAGGAUGAGCAGUCACACUGGAACUGAGACACGGUCCAGACUCCGACGGGAGGCAGCAGUGGGGAAUAUUGGACAAUGGGCGAAAGCCUGAUCCAGCCAUGCCGCGUGUGUGAAGAAGGUCUUCGGAUUGUAAAGCACUUUAAGGUGGGAGGCGUUACCCGCAGAAGAAGCACCGGCUAACUCCGUGCCAGCAGCCGCGGUAAUUC